AGUGCCAUUAGAAACUGUGAAUUUCCAAAUAAAUCUGAACACUUUGUCUUUCAUUUACUGGCAUUUUUCCUUUGAAAAUGAAACUUGUGGCUUAAAUUGUCUGAGAAGGACUGUUCUUUAAUUUUCAGUCUAGGACUAGGACUGGAGUCCUUCAACCCUAGUAAGAAGUUCAUAAACUCAGCCUAGAUGUGUUUGUCUAUCUAAAGAAAGAAAGGGGGGAGGUGAAUUCUGAAGGCCAAGCUUUGCUUUGUCUGAAAGUUCAGGAAUUGUGGCCCUGUGAAACUGCUGGAUAAGUUUCCAGCAGGUCAGUUCACACCUUGCCCAGGGGGAUCCCUGGGCGUGGUGGCUUUCUGUGAGAACAACUGCAUGAAAUGACCUCUUGAUACUCAGAGCUAAGGUUUGUGAAAGAUAUAAAAGGCCCUGAAAGGAAAAGGUUAGGGAGUCAUUUAUUAUUUCAAACCAGAGUUUUCAGCUUGGUUUGCCUCUUACUGGUCCUUCCCUCCUAACUUAAGCACUGUGUGCAGCCAAAUGCUGAAUUCACAGGCUCUUCAGCAUUGAUUUUUUCACUUGAGUGUCUCAAGACUCUCUGCUUCAUCAUAGCACUGUUAUUUAAAAAGCAAUUUAGUGUGGGUUUUGCUGGGGAGGGGGGAUUGGAUGGGGAGAGUGGCUGUUUUUUUGGGGGGAAGGUGUGGGCUUCUUUUAUUUACUCCUUUCUCUUGAUAUGUCACUUGUAGGAAACUGUGUACCUUCAUUGCCCAGGCAACCACUGGGCUCUUCUCUUCAGUAAGAAUCACCUGAAACUGGACAUGUCUGAAUUCUUAAAACAGCCCAUCUUUACUCUCUGCUAUGAACCAAAGACUGACAGUGGGAUGGUGUCUGUGACCAUGUUCUGUGACUCAGGAUCCAUGCCCUGUGAAGCAGCCAAGGAGAAGGUCGGAUGCAAAACGGACAGUGGUAAGGAAUUUUCCUGUGUGAAAUGAAGUGACUCCCCAGCACUGACAGCUGCACUUGGCAUUGGUUCCUCAUCCUUCUGCUGAGGGCAGAAGUCAUCAGCUCUACCUCUGCCCUCUGCCAGAGGUUUUGUCGUUCCCUUUGCACUGCUUGUGGUCUAGGACACCUCAGCGGAAAAGCAGCUGCCUCUGUCUGAGUGGGCUGCUGGAAAGAGUGGCUGGUGGUGGGUAUGAGCUAUCACUCAGCCCCGGACUGGCAGCGCAGCCCUCGUACCUCCAGCCCG
rnacentral:lncRNA from 1 species